rnacentral:rRNA from 1 species
GUCCUAGCCCUAAACGAUGAUUGCUUGGUGUGUCGGGUACCCAAUCCCGCCGUGCCGAAGCUAACGCGAUAAGCAAUCCGCCUGGGGAGUACGGUCGCAAGACUGAAACUCAAAGGAAUUGACGGGGGCCCGCACAAGCGGUGGAGCAUGUGGUUCAAUUCGACGCAACGCGAAGAACCUUACCUGGGCUCGAAAUGUAGUGGACCGGGGUGGAAACAUCCCUUCCCGCAAGGGCUGCUAUAUAGGUGCUGCAUGGCUGUCGU